ACGCCCGUGGCUCAGUUGGGAGAGCGGUGGGACAGUAAUCCACGGUCCCGGGUUCAAGUCCCGACGGUCGCG